rnacentral:rRNA from 1 species
UUCCCAGUCACGAUACCUGCGGCUGGGGUAUUCUUUCAUCUAGAGGAGUUGCAUUCUGUGACAGAAGGAAUCAAGCAAGGGCUUGAAGAGAAUGGCGUAUUUGUUGUCCAGUUUCUCUACAUGAAGAGCAUUAUGGAAAACAAUGCUUUCGAUCAAAUCUACCAUGAGCACCUCCUGUACUACACUCUCGAGACUAUUCAGAAACUUUUGGGGCGUCACGGUCUUGAAAUGUUUGAUGCCUUUCUUUCGCCAAUACAUGGUGGGCAAAUGAUUGGAUAUAUCGGGCAUCCUGGAGUACGCGAGAAAACAGGGCGCUUAAUCGAAAUCGAGAAAGAAGAAGUCUUGUCAGGCUGUAACGCAAAAAAAGCAUACAUUGAAUUUGCAGAACGUGUGGAACAAAUCAAGCAUCGCGAUCUGGAAUACUUGUCUCGGAAACGGCGCGAGGGGAAGAGAAUUUUUGGGAUGGGGGGUGAGUCAGGACCUAAGGCGAGGCCGACAGGCGUAGUCGAUGGACAACGGGUUGAUAUUCCCGUACCGGCGAAGAACCGACAAAACCAAAUUGGUAAUGCUAAGUCAGCGAAUUGCAAUCUGAAGCCUUCGGGUGGAGGGUUGUAGCUAGUCGACGAACCUAAUCUGAAGCGGUAACACAGGUGUGACGCAGGAAGGUAGCCUCCGCGGGGCGAUGGUUGUCCCCGUUUAAGGAUGUAGGGCGAGAGAUAGGCAAAUCCGUCUCUCACAUGCCUGAGAUCUGAUGAUGAGUCCGCAAGGACGAAGUGGGUGAUCCUAUGCUGCCAAGAAAAGCAUCGGUGUGAGGUUCUAGCUGCCCGUACCCGAAACCGACUCAGGUGGUCAGGUAGAGAAUACCAAGGAGAUCGAGAGAAUCGUGGUUAAGGAACUCGGCAAAAUGGCCCCGUAACUUCGGGAGAAGGGGCGCCUGAGGUGUGUAACUCAUACGAGUGAAGCACUGUAUGGCCGCAGAGACCAGUGAGUAGCGACUGUUUAACAAAAACACAGGUCCGUGCGAAGUUGCAAAACGAUGUAUACGGACUGACGCCUGCCCGGUGCUGGAAGGUUAAGAGGACUGGUUAGCAGCAAUGCAAAGCUAGGAAUUUAAGCCCCAGUAAACGGCGGUGGUAACUAUAACCAUCCUAAGGUAGCGAAAUUCCUUGUCGGGUAAGUUCCGACCUGCACGAAUGGCGUAACGACUUCUCAGCUGUCUCAACCACGAACUCGGCGAAAUUGCACUAUGAGUGAAGAUGCUCAUUACGCGCAGAAGGACGAAAAGACCCCGUGACCUUACUAUAACUUGGUAUUGGUGUUCGGUGCGGCUUGUGUAGCAUAGGUGGGAGGCUUUGAAGCGACGGCGCCAGCUGUCGUGGAGCCAUAGGUGAAAUACCACCCUGCUGUUUUCUGAUAUCUAACCACGCACCGUUAUCCGGUGUUGGGACCCUCUGUGGCGGGUAGUUUGACUGGGGCGGUCGCCUCCUAAAGAGUAACGGAGGCGCGCGAUGGUAGGCUCAGGACGGUUGGAAACCGUCUGUUAGAGUGCAAUGGCAUAAGCCUGCCUGACUGCGAGACUGACGAGUCGAGCAGAGACGAAAGUCGGUCAUAGUGAUCCGGUGGUCCCUCGUGGAAGGGCCAUCGCUCAACGGAUAAAAGGUACG